rnacentral:ribozyme from 1 species
GUUGGUUGGCUUUGUUAACGGGGUAGGAACCGAAGCUCCUCUCGGAGUUACACAGGCUCUCCUACCCAACUCCUAUUCCGUCACGUCCUCGUCGUACAGAGUGGUAACUUUCCCCACCACAUAUCCAAGCUUGGGUACACGGGCCU